rnacentral:rRNA from 1 species
UUCUCCGGUUGAUCCCGCCAGAGGUUACUGCUAUCGGUGUUCGCCUAAGCCAUGCGAGUCAUAUGUUCUUCGUGAACAUGGCGUACUGCUCAGUAACACGUGGAUAACCUGCCCUUGGGUCUGGGAUAACCCCGGGAAACUGGGGAUAAUACCGGAUAACGCAUAUAUGCUGGAAUGCUUUAUGCGUAAAAUGGAUUCGUCUGCCCAAGGAUGGGUCUGCGGCCUAUCAGGUAGUAGUGGGUGUAAUGUACCUACUAGCCUACAACGGGUACGGGUUGUGAGAGCAAGAGCCCGGAGAUGGAUUCUGAGACAUGAAUCCAGGCCCUACGGGGCGCAGCAGGCGCGAAAACUUUACAAUGCGGGAAACCGUGAUAAGGGGACACCGAGUGCCAGCAUCAUAUGCUGGCUGUCCAGAUGUGUAAAAUACAUCUGUUAGCAAGGGCCGGGCAAGACCGGUGCCAGCCGCCGCGGUAACACCGGCGGCCCGAGUGGUGAUCGUGAUUAUUGGGUCUAAAGGGUCCGUAGCCGGUUUGGUCAGUCCUCCGGGAAAUCUGAUGGCUCAACCAUUAGGCUUUCGGGGGAUACUGCCAGGCUUGGAACCGGGAGAGGUAAGAGGUACUACAGGGGUAGGAGUGAAAUCUUGUAAUCCCUGUGAGACCACCUGUGGCGAAGGCGUCUUACCAGAACGGGUUCGACGGUGAGGGACGAAAGCUGGGGGCACGAACCGGAUUAGAUACCCGGGUAGUCCCAGCCGUAAACGAUGCUCGCUAGGUGUCAGGCAUGGCGCGACCGUGUCUGGUGCCGCAGGGAAGCCGUGAAGCGAGCCACCUGGGAAGUACGGCCGCAAGGCUGAAACUUAAAGGAAUUGGCGGGA